AAAAAUAAUAAUUAAAAAAAAAAAAACCUGAAGCUAACCCUGGCUAACCCAAAGCUAAAGCGGAGGUGGGAGCCGAGCUAACGGAUGUAGCCACCUAGCUUCAACCCAACCGGAGCUAACUGGAACACCCAUCGACCUGAACCUCACACGGAGUUUAGGUGGAGGUUUUCUGCGCCUGUUCGUGAGAAGUACCUGUAUUAAAAAAGAUUUAAAUCGAUCUGUUUAAAUGUCACCAUGGCAGCCUGUGUGUCUCCAACAUCAGCUACACAAAGCAGCUAGUCCAUUUGGAUCAUUGGAGACAGCUAUGUGAGGCGUGGUGCCCAGAGAGCUGCAGAGACAACCUUGGCCUCCCUGACGUCUGUGUCUCCUGGUUCGGUUGGGGCGGACCAUCGACAUACAUACAUGUGCCGACACUUUGCGCCCUGUUUUAUAAAAUUUAGUGUUAAAAAUAAAUGUUUUUGCUCAA